CCACCACCACCACCAACUCCGCAUCGAUCUAAUGGAUCUCCCCGAGCUCAACGAGGAGGACGAGGAUCAUCGGGUUCCUUUCUUCUCCCGCCGGCGAUCCGAGCACACGUGGGUUAUUUCGCUCUUCAUUGUUGUCAGCCUCGUUGCUUUUGUUGCUAGCAUGAUAGUUAAUGAUUGCCCUGGGAACGCCGGCGGCGUAGGGCAGUGCUUAUUCCGGUCGCUUGGGGUUCUCAUUCCAGCCGAUAUAUGAGAAUCCACUUCUCGGGCCCUCGCCGUCGACGUUGGUUAAAAUGGGAGCCCUUCAACGGACCUUGCCAGUUAAGCUAUGGCCCCUGGCAACAUGUCCAUGGUUGCAUGCUGGUGUUAUUCAGUUGGUAGUGAACCUCUCCAGUGUAAUCAUUGUAGGCCAUCACUUGGAGCAGGAAUUUGGUCCGUUGAGGGCUGCAAUAAUCUACCUACUCUCUGCUCUUAUGGGUAG